UCUGAUUUUUCCUUCCAAUGAUGUCACAGCUCAACUGCAUUUGGUGCCCUCUCAAAGGACAAAAGCAGACAGGGACGCCUUGCGGGCCCUUCCCCUGGCCCGCCCCGGCCUGCCCGCAGGACGUAUGGCUCCCGUCACCGUCUGGACCACAGCUGCUAGGGACAGUCAAAGCAUGAGAAUCAAAGUGGCAGCAUAUGUCAUCGCCUUCACCAGCCUGUCUCCAGAAGCACAAAACCAGUCCUCGCAGCUGGUCCUCUGGGGACCAGCUGUCACGGCGAUGUGGUGGCGCUGUCCCCAGGCGGCCGAGCAUCCCGGGCUUCUCUUUGGGCAGGCCUGGACCAGGGCCUUAGGGGAUCUCUGUGUCCAUGGUAUAAAUCUGAAUGAGAUCA
rnacentral:lncRNA from 1 species